rnacentral:rRNA from 1 species
AGGAGGCAGCAUGAGGAAUAUUGGACAAUGGGCGCAAGCCUGAUCCAGCCAUGCCGCGUGCAGGAUGACGGUCCUAUGGAUUGUAAACUGCUUUUGCACAGGAAGAAACAUCCCGACGUGUCGGGACUUGACGGUACUGUGAGAAUAAGGAUCGGCUAACUCCGUGCCAGCAGCCGCGGUAAUACGGAGGAUCCAAGCGUUAUCCGGAAUCAUUGGGUUUAAAGGGUCCGUAGGCGGUUUAUUAAGUCAGUGGUGAAAGCCCAUCGCUCAACGGUGGAACGGCCAUUGAUACUGAUAGACUUGAAUUACUAGGAAGUAACUAGAAUAUGUAGUGUAGCGGUGAAAUGCUUAGAGAUUACAUGGAAUACCAAUUGCGAAGGCAGGUUACUACUAGUGGAUUGACGCUGAUGGACGAAAGCGUGGGUAGCGAACAGGAUUAGAUACCCGUGUAGUCCG